rnacentral:rRNA from 1 species
UACGUAGGGGGCAAGCGUUGUCCGGAAUUAUUGGGCGUAAAGCGCGCGCAGGCGGCCUAUUAAGUCUGAUGUGAAAGCCCACGGCUCAACCGUGGAGGGCCAUUGGAAACUGGUAGGCUUGAGUGCAGGAGAGGAGAGCGGAAUUCCCGGUGUAGCGGUGAAAUGCGUUGAUAUCAUUAGGAACUCCGGUGGCGAAGGCGGCUCGCUGGAUCUCUUCUGACGCUGAGGCGCGAAAGCUAGGGGAGCAAACGGG